rnacentral:lncRNA from 1 species
GCAGGAGGGAAGAGGAUGCUGGAAGGGGUAAGUGGAGAAUGGAAAGGACUGAUGUGAAGGCUGAAGUUGACACGUCUAUGAGUGAGCUCCCUCACUUCCAGAUUAAUCUAGAAGCCUUUGAUAAUGACCCUUAUUGAGGUUGGUUAACAUUAAAAUAUUUAUCUCGGAAGGGAACACAAAUGAAAAUAUCUCAGAGAGGAGUGAGAGGAGAUAUCAGGGCACCAGGAGCCGGAAUCUCAACCAUCUGGAAUCCUACUGAGACUUGGCGGCCCAUUCCAGAGUUUCAGGCAGUUGGAAGAUUGAUUGCCCUCUGAUAUUUGGUGUCCGAUGUGGGAGGAAGCAGGCCUGAGAAGGAAGUUCCACUUUAGUGGAGGAAAGGACACAUGGUGUGUUAGAUGGUGAGAGGACUCUGCAGGCAAACUCAGAAGACGUUUAAAGAGAAAGUGAAAGGUAAAGGGGUUGACUUGAGGAAAGUUUCUUUUUUUUUUUAAAAUUCUGUUUUAUUGGUACAUUUUAGGUGUACAAUAUAAUGACAUUCAUCAUUGGAAAUUUGCACCUUUAUGUAAUCUCUCUUGAUUCUUAUUUUUUCCCCCUUCCCCUGCCCUCUCUUCAACCCCUCUAUCCUCCCUCCCUAUUUAC